rnacentral:lncRNA from 1 species
AUUCUGAGAAACAUCUGAAGCCGGUUCCUGGGGCUCCACUCAAGGCCCCUUAAUGCUGCCAUUCCCCGCAUACCUCACCACCCCCCAGCUCCCUUCACUGCACACUGCUCUGCAGAGGAAGGUCAUCAGUGUCUGGGAUGAAGAGCAUUGCAAAGGUCAUCAGUGUCUGGGUUGCAGAGCGUUGCCUGGCGCAAGCUGAUACCAGUGGGGAAGCCAGGAGGAAUGACAAACUUGAAGUCAUGGAAUUGGAUUGCAGCCCUGAUUUACCACCAACUACACAUGACCUUGAGAAAUCUCUUAACAUCUCUGAGCCUCUGCAGGUGAGAAGAAAGCUGGCAGGCCAAGCUGGGAAGCCAAGAAAAGGCUGUUUCUAGUUCCAGUGAAUUUCAAUCCCUGUGCAUCCUGUGGACUGAGGCUCCAAUGCUUCCAAAACUCAAAGCACCUGCCAAAGCCAGCAGUUAUAAUUUUUGCAAAGGCGGUUUCAUCCUUGCCAAGACUUCACUUGAAAAUGAGUCUAUCUCCCCCAUGACUGAUGAAUUCAUGGCACUUUUGUUGGGCUUUCUCCUCAAUGAGAUGAUAAGAAAGUUUGAGGACUACGGAAAGGACAAAAGCAUCUGUGGUACCACCAACCUGAUUCCUCCUUGUCCUUGUCGUGUUUGGUCUCAGUCAUUGUUCACAACAGGCAGCCCAGGGCUCUCGGCUCCAAGCGUCUGCCUGUGCAUUAGCCAUUGCUGCCCACCCCCAGGCCCUCCACUGUAGUACCCAAACCCCAAAACUGCCUACACGGCAAGGGCAGAGCCAGGCUGGGGAGAUGGAAUGCUACUCCGGGUCUGAGUGUGUCUGAAAAGACUGCAGGGCUUAUUCACCAGAAGCAUCAGAAGUAAAAGAAGUACUGAAUGGAAAGGAGCUGACUACUGGGAGAGGCCCAGGCCUGGCCGGAAGGACCAGCGAUGAGGGGUGGAUUGCCCCAGGACUCCAAAGUUGCACAUAGGUGGCAGCCCACCUUGGACGGUCCUCAGAGUUGGUACAGGAAGCAGAGACCCAAACCCUACCUGUAGGCCUGCAGUUCUCCUAUUUCCUCUGGCCAGAUCUGCAUCUCAUUUCUCAGGUCUCCUAUCUUUUUUCAUUACGGGCCAGGUCAUGGCAAUUUCCAGAAUUUAGUCCUCCCUCUGAUACUUCGGUUGUGGUUGCCGAUGGCAUGCCCAGGUGGGAGAGGGAGGCCAGGUGGCAGGUGCUGGUGCUGUUAGCAGUGCUGACCUGCCGUCUUGCUCCAGGGCUGCUGGAGGCCUGGCAGAGAUGCUCAGGAAACUCUUGACUCAGCUCAUGUGUGUGCCGUGGUCCUACUUGGGGAUGAACGCAAGGGAGCCUGGACAAAUUCCCAUUGAUGUAGUUGCUCACUGCAUAUGGCAUGUGUGUCUAGGAACACACGCGCACACACACACACACACACACACACACACACUUUCUUUUGUAAAAGAAUAAUACAAAGCUACAUGGCUAUAUGUAUAUGCAUAUAUAUAGACAUAGAUAUCAUAUGUUUAUAAUGCUUUAUAGUUUACAAGCAGUAGGAAUUGUGUGGGCACAGUGUCUUCUCUCUUCCUGCAACCCGGAUACAUUUUGCUUAGUUUGAGAUUAAUAAAUAGGAAGAGAGAGGCAGACAGAUGAUGCUUUCUAGUGAAAUGAGCAGAGUUAGAAGUAAAAUAGCCACGUGACUUUGGGCAAGUUAUUCAAGGCUGCAGCUUUCUUCUCUAUAAGAUGGGAUAAUAUAUUAUCUACUUGAGCAUACCUAGUGCCCAGAUCUUGGUUUCUAGUACUGUUCUCCAAUAAAAGGAACUAGGAUCCUUGGGAGAAAUAGCUGAUUCUAGGGCUGGGGCAGAAUGGAAGAUAAGCCUGGAAAGCUAAAAAUAAAUAAAUAAAUAAAUAAAAAAGCAAGUUGGUAUCAUAGAAGUGAAGAGUAAAAAAGUGGUUACUAGAGGCUGGUAAGGGUAAGGGGGAGGAGGAGAGACACAGAGGUUGGUUAAAGGACACAAAAUUACCCUAGAUAGGACUAAGUUUUAAUGUCCUAUAGCACUAGAGUUACUAUAAUAAAAAUAAUUUAUUAUAUAUUUUCAAAUAGCUAGAAGAGAGGACUUUGAAUGUUCCCAACACACAAAGCAAUGAUAAGUGUUUGAGGUGAUGGAUUUGCUAAUUACUCUGAUUUGAUCAUUAUACAUUUACACAUGUACUGAAAUAUCACACUGCACCCCAUACAUAUGUAUAAUUAUGUGUCAAUUAAAAAUAAUAGACAAAGAAAUAAAUCAAUCAAAGAUGAGCCUGGUGCAUCUUGGAGUAUCAGAAAGUAAGAAGGUACUAAAAAACAAAACAAAACAUCUAACCCCCAAUAAAGGUGGCGAUGGUGAUGGUGGCGGUAGGUGGGGGGCAUGAAUCUGCCAAAGGGACACAGGGGAGAGCUGAAAGGGCCAAAGUUGGAACAAUUUAAUCCUUUUCCCAUUUAGGAAAAAAAAGUGCAGCUCGCUGCCAGCGCUCAUUUAAUUUUAAAUAA